rnacentral:rRNA from 1 species
GGUUAAGCGACUAAGCGUACACGGUGGAUGCCCUGGCAGUCAGAGGCGAUGAAGGACGUGCUAAUCUGCGAAAAGCGUCGGUAAGGUGAUAUGAACCGUUACAGCCGGCGAUGUCCGAAUGGGGAAACCCAGUGUGAUUCGUCACACUAUCGUUAACUGAAUACAUAGGUUAACGAGGCGAACCGGGGGAACUGAAACA